UGUCUCCUCCACCUCCUCUAUUGGUGGAUUCAGCCCCCGGCUUUACAGCCUGGGGCUUUUUUU
rnacentral:ncRNA from 1 species